AUGGAUUGGUUUGAUACUCGCCAACCCUUCUGCAAGUUCUUGCAGUUCGUGGGGAGAUGGAUGGGGUUUUCUAAUUUGACCCAAAAUUGUGUCCUGGAGCAGCUGGACCCUCGGGAGCUCGUGCUCGGGGUUGCCGCGGAUGGACUCCAGCAGGAGUCGCCGCGCAGCAGGGACGGGGAGCAUGGUGAUGGCCUAUGGGAUCUCUGUCGCUGGACUGGGAUGGCCUUUGGGGUCUCUGUCGCUGGAUAUGUUCAGGCUAGGUGGUUAAUUGAAUACGUUCAGUGCUACCGAGCUAAAUUUAUUCAAAUGGUGUACUACUAA
rnacentral:rRNA from 1 species